UGAGAUGAUUGAGAGUUGUGAUGUUGAUGAAGAGAGAUCGUGAGUGAUUCUGAGAUGAAAUUGCAGAGAGAUUAGAGAGUGAUUUGGGAUUAUGAGAUUGUGAUUUGUGAUUCUGAUCGAUCCCCCGAAACUGGUGAAUGAUGAAGGUACUUAUAGAGGUUGGAUUUAACAGAGAUCAAACUAUGUUAAAUCAUAUUAGCAUGAGUUAGUUGGAGAUCUCCAUUCCAUUAGUUUGCUCCGUUAGAAGUUAGUUAUAGGAUUCAGUUAAGUGUUAGUUUCGAUUUGAAGUGUUAGUUAGGGUUAGCUUGAGAUUCGUGAGCUGUUUAGUGAAAUGAUCUACUAUUUGUCAGAUUUAGAGUUUCAGUUAGUUAAGAGAAGAAAACGAAAAAAAAACAGUUAGUUGAUUUCCAGUUAGUGGGAAUGUUAGUAGUUAAGCUCAGUUAGUGUCAACUGUUAGUUGAAAUGCCAUUUGCCAGUCAAAAUGUAAACUGUUGAUUUUUGCUUGGUCAUGAUAAGUCCUUAUUCUGUGUAUGAUUAUCCUGUUAUGAGGUCCUUGUUUGGAAUGUUGGAAUGGCUGCACUAUGAGUUGUUUGCAAAAUAGAACUGUAACUGAAGUGGCUUAUUAUUCCAAAUUAUUUUUUGUCCAAUGGUGCUUCUGCCAUACUAUCAAUAUUACUUUCUUUUUUUCGCUGGAUUUGAAUGAUCAAUUGAUGAUGGUUGUGGUGUACUGUUUUGCAGACUUGUAGUUUAGACUUGCUUGAUGUAUAGCCAUUGUUUGUUGUAGGUUGUGAAUGGUUAGGUUGUGAGUCAUGGUGCUGCAGAAUUUUUGCAGGUGUAUCAUGCAUGUGUUGCUUCAUGUUGUGUUCUGCAGCAUAUGUGUAGUACUAAUGUCCAUUGCAUUCAUUCUAACUUUCUUCAUCAUGCCCUGGUUUUGUAUGUGUAUUCCAUUCGUGUUGAUGAUUUAGGUCUUGGUCCUUACUUAUGCAAUUCUGAGUUAGACUAACAUGGCCUAUGUUUGCAACAUGUGUGCAUGUGUAUUCUGACUUUGUGGUUGUAUCUCAUGCCUUGCCUUAUUUUGUAGGAGUUUUAUGGAAGAGCAAAGCUUGGCUUUGAAAGAAAUGGUGACAUGAAGCAUGAAGUGCAUGAUCAUGAAGUUGGUGGAUGAAGAAAUUUGGACUAGGUUCAAUUCUUAACUGGUUGGAUUUUUGGUCAUGAAAAGUGUGGUUGAAUAUGAAUGUUAGGAACUUAGAUUAGACAUUAGUUCAUGCUUGUUUGGGAUGGUUUUGUAAUUUGUAAUGUGUUUUCCAUGGAAACUAUGUAUGAACAUGGCUUUCUAAAUGAAAGUCUUGAAAGUUUAUGGAAUUAUAUGGAAAGUCCCAUUGAAUUUUGAAAUUUGUAUGACACUUGAAUGUUUGGAAAUUGGUUGAUUUAUGGCUUAUGAUGAAAU
rnacentral:lncRNA from 1 species